rnacentral:rRNA from 1 species
UCCUGGCUCAGAACGAACGCUGGUGGCGUGUCUUAUACAGUGCAAGUCGAGCGAGGCAGCAAUGCCGAGCGGCGAACGGGUGAGUAACGCGUAAGCAAUCUGCCCCAUAUCAGGAAAUACCCGUGCCAACGCGCGGUUAAUGUCCAGGAGAGUGGCCCCCUGCAUGGAGGGUUGACUAGAGAUUUAUCGGUAUGGGAUGAGCUUGCGUCCGAUUAGCUAGUUGGCGGGGCAACGGCCACCAAGGCGACGAUCGGUAGCCGGCCUGAGAGGGUGAUCGGCCACAUUGGGACUGAGAUACGGCCCAGACUCCUACGGGAGGCAGCAGUAGGGAAUAUUGCACAAUGGGGGAAACCCUGAUGCAGCAACGCCACGUGUGGGAAAGAAGCAUUUCGGUGUGUAAACCACUGUCAUGAGGGAAUAAGGCCCUUAUUCGUAAGGGAUUGAAUGUACCUUGAGAGGAAGCACCGGCAAACUUCGUGCCAGCAGCUGC